GACGAACGCUGGCGGCGUGCUUAACACAUGCAAGUCGAACGGAAAGGCCCUGCUUUUGUGGGGUGCUCGAGUGGCGAACGGGUGAGUAACACGUGAGUAACCUGCCCUUGACUUUGGGAUAACUUCAGGAAACUGGGGCUAAUACCGGAUAGGAGCUCCUGCUGCAUGGUGGGGGUUGGAAAGUUUCGGCGGUUGGGGAUGGACUCGCGGCUUAUCAGCUUGUUGGUGGGGUAGUGGCUUACUAAGGCUUUGACGGGUAGCCGGCCUGAGAGGGUGACCGGCCACAUUGGGACUGAGAUACGGCCCAGACUCCUACGGGAGGCAGCAGUGGGGAAUAUUGCACAAUGGGCGGAAGCCUGAUGCAGCAACGCCGCGUGCGGGAUGACGGCCUUCGGGUUGUAAACCGCUUUCGCCUGUGACGAAGCGUGGGUGACGGUAAUGGGUAAAGAAGCACCGGCUAACUACGUG
rnacentral:rRNA from 1 species